rnacentral:tRNA from 1 species
GUAGCGCAAUGGAUAGUGCGUUGGACUUAUCAUCCAAUGGUGGUGAGUUCGAAUCCCACUUACA